rnacentral:rRNA from 1 species
UACGUAGGGUGCAAGCGUUAAUCGGAAUUACUGGGCGUAAAGCGUGCGCAGGCGGUGAUGUAAGACAGUUGUGAAAUCCCCGGGCUCAACCUGGGAACUGCAUCUGUGACUGCAUCGCUGGAGUGCGGCAGAGGGGGAUGGGAUUCCGCGUGUAGCAGUGAAAUGCGUAGAUAUGCGGAGGAACACCGAUGGCGAAGGCAAUCCCCUGGGCCUGCACUGACGCUCAUGCACGAAAGCGUGGGGAGCAAACAGG